UCAUUAAAUCAGUUAUAGUUUGUUUGAUGGUAUUUGUUACUCGGAUAACCGUAGUAAUUCUAGAGCUAAUACGUACAACAAACCCCAACUUCUAGAAGGGAUGCAUUUAUUAGAUAAAAGGUCGAGCGGGCUUUGCUCGUUGCUCUGAUGAUUCAUGAUAACUCGACGGAUCGCACGGCCUUUAUUCCGGCGACGCAUCAUUCAAAUUUCUGCCCUAUCAAAUUUCGAUGGUAGGAUAGUGGCCUACUAUGGUGGUGACG
rnacentral:ncRNA from 1 species